AGGGCACCACCAGGAGUGGAGCCUGCGGCUUAAUUUGACUCAACACGGGAAAACUCACCCGGCCCGGACACCGUAAGGAUUGACAGAUUGAGAGCUCUUUCUUGAUUCGGUGGUUGGUGGUGCAUGGCCGUUCUUAGUUGGUGGAGCGAUUUGUCUGGUUUAUUCCGAUAACGAACGAGACUCUGGCCUACUAAAUAGUGACAGGAUUAUUACUGUCUUGGAUACUUCUUAGAGGGACAAGUGGUUUUCAGCCACACGAAAUUGAGCAAUAACAGGUCUGUGAUGCUCUUAGAUGUCCGGGGCUGCACGCGCGCUACACUGAAGGAAUCAGCGUGCUAAAACCAUUGUCGAAAGGCAUUGGUAAACCCAUUAAAAUCCUACGUGAUUGGGAUCGGGAAUUGCAAUUAUUUCCCUUGAACGAGGAAUUCCCAGUAAGUGUGGGUCAUAAGCUCGCGUUGAUUACGUCCCUGCCCUUUGUACACACCGCCCGUCGCUGCCCGGGACUGAGCCGUUUCGAGA
rnacentral:rRNA from 1 species